GACGAACGCUGGCGGCGUGCUUAACACAUGCAAGUCGAACGGGCCUUGUCCCCUUUUUUUUGGGGGUGGGGUUAGUGGCGAACGGGUGAGUAACACGUGAGUAACCUGCCCCUCACUUCUGGAUAACCGCUUGAAAGGGUGGCUAAUACGGGGUGUUCUGGCCUGCUCGCAUGGGUGGGUUUGGAAAGAUUCGACCGGUUUUGGUUGUUUUGGUGGGGGAUGGGCUCGCGGCCUAUCAGCUUGUUGGUGGGGUGAUGGCCUGCCAAGGCUUUGACGGGUAGCCGGCCUGAGAGGGUGGGCGGUCACACUGGGAAUGAGACACGGCCCAGACUCCUACGGGAGGCAGAAGUGGGGAAUAGUGCACAAUGGGCGCAAGCCUGAUGCAGCGACGCCGCGUGAGGGAUGGAGGCCUUCGGGUUGUGAACCUCUUUCGCCAGUGAAGAAGGUCCUGCUCUUUGUGGUGGGGUUGACGGUAGCGGGGUUAAUGAAGCGCCGGCUAACUACGUG
rnacentral:rRNA from 1 species